rnacentral:lncRNA from 1 species
CCGUGUUGGAGAUGGACUCUAAUCAGGAUGUGAGCACGGGCGAGUGAUGUUUCACUCAUCCCAGCGGAUGAGAGAAAACUAGGGAUGGCUUCCUGAAACAAAGAUGCCUGAGCCGAGUCUUCAGGGAAUAAUAUGCAGACACCAGUCUUGAGAACUGACUGUUCUGAACCAUCUUUCCUCUUUGUGCCGCAGAGUCUAGUGCUUUCUGAGACAGGCUAGGUUUGGAUGACUGGGAGAGCGCCGUGCUUUCUAUGAUUUGCUGUCUUGACUUUCUGGUCUGGGGAUAAUUUCCAGAACGUUCUUCAUUCCUCUGCCAAUCUGGACUAUUCCAUCUGGAUGACUUGAUGGGUCCCAAAGCCAUGAGGUCACCCAGAUGCGAUCUUCCUCCAAGUGAGAGAAUCUCAGUUCAAGGUUCCCAGGCUCAGGGUCAAAUCGGAGUUGUAGCCGCCAACCUACACCGCAGCUCACGGCCACGCCGGAUCCUUAACCCACUGAGCAAGGCCAGGGAUCCAACCCGCAACCUCAUGGUUCCUAGUCAGAUUCGUUAACCACGGAGCCAGGACGGGAACUCCUAUUUUUUUUUUUUCUUCGAGCACUUGAGUUAUGGAAUUAAGUUGGCCUUUGUAGAGCUGUUAUUUAAAAGGCUUUGGUGGGAAACGGAAUUUACUCUCUUUUUUUCGUUGUUUGUUUUUCAUAUGCGGGGGUGGGGCAGGGUGGAAUACAAAGAAUUAUUCAAAGAAAUCUUUAGAAACGAGGGCUCCAGAAGCUGCAGGAGGGAACUCUAAAUCCUCCUGUCCCAAGAGAUGCACAGGUGGUGCUGUGGGUAAUUUUUUAUUCUGCAGCGUAUGCUGGAAUGUUAAAAAAUAUUAUUAAACAUUGAAAUGAGUAUACUAGUGAGCUAAUUAGUAUGUUUCUCUUUCUUUUAAUAAUCCCGAUGCAUUUUCUUUCUUUCCUACCUCCAUUUUUAUACACGCCGUAACCCUAAAGAACAUAUUUAGAAGCAUAAUUAGUUAUAAUUAGAAGCAAACAAACCUCACCCGGGGUAUCUCCAAUUUAUUACAAAGAAUUACAGGUGAUGGUGGCGGCGGCAGAAACCUCAGGUCCCCGCUGCCUGAUGAGACAUGUGGUUUUACACACGCGUGGGCACACACGUGGCCGCACAUGCACACACGCACACCUGUACCCUGUCCGGACCAAGGAGUCGCUUUUGCUGGGCUCUUCAAAGUUGCAGAGGCCUCACGUUUCUCGAUCAUUCUGCAUUAACUCUAUCCUUAAGUAAUGGGGACACUGUCAGAGUCGCAGCCUCACUCCUGGGUGAUGAGAAAAAGACAGACGUUUGACUGUGAGGCCUCUUGGCAGGAAAUUUGGUAGCGAAGUCCCAUCCAAUUUGUCAUGCUCAGCAGUGGUCUCUGCUCCGCAGGAAGCUUGCAGCCCAGCCCCGGCCAGUCACCUGUCUGGGAGACACCCCGCAACGCCAUCUGAAGUGACAGGCUGCAUAUGCAGGGCCGUCCCGGCAGCCAGGCCGCCACGCUUUCAGUCACUGGCUGUGGAGGGAGGGCCCAUGGCUCCUGUGACCGGCAGGCUGUCACCUUUGACAUUUGACCCUGUCCCUACCCCCAAAUGCCCAGACUCCCCCUUUCGUGGCUUCCACCCCAAACCUCUAUGUAAAUGAAAGUUUAAACAAAUCUGUGCUCAUGCUGGCUUUCCAGCGAGAUUUUUUUUUUUUUAAUUUCUCUUGAAUUAUGUAAAGAUGCAUCACAAGAUAUUUACGAUUUUUUUUUUAAAAACAGAUAUUCUUUUUAUAUACUGAUAAAAUUGGAAACUUGGAAGCAUAUUUGGCAAGUGUAAACAGAUGGUUAAAGAUAUUUGCUGGGAAGUAUCAGAAACAGUUAUUCCUGACUUGCCUGCUUGGCUAAACAUUGAAAAGUCAACUCACAGGGCACAAAGCAGGAGAUGGGUUCCCACUUGGCUUCUGAGCAGAGCAGGCAGGAGCACUGCUUCUCUGCUUGAUCAUCACGCUGCAGGUCACACCUCUAUGGCCAUGGAACCCUCUUCUCUUUUCAUCUACAGAAUCGGUGAGGGGUUCUUUAGCAGCUGAGCAAGAAGGCUUCUGUGUUGUCUUCUUAAUUCACGAUUCCUCUCUCAGAGGAAGCCCUGGGCAUCCUUUAUCUUUCUCCGAGUAAGGUAGGAAAUGAGCCCUUUUCCUUUGCUCUGGGGAACGCAGUCAUUUUAUUCCUAAGAGCUCCAUGCUAGGAGGUGUCCUUCCAAGGCAGUGGGAAGCAAAGUUGCAUCAAGGAACUGACCAGGAAGAAAAGAAGAAGAAACAUGCCCCCCCCCUCCUUCCAGAGAGCAGAAUUCACCACACAAAACCUUCCCAAUCACGAAAACAACAGUUCAGGUGCUUGAGCAGAAAGCAGAGAAUUUCUUGACAUGGUCCCGUGGUCCGAUGUGUGGUUUCUCUGUGUGGGGUAGGGGGGUUGAUUGGAGGUUGGGGUGGGGGAAGGAAGAAGCUGCCGUAUUUGUGACAAGCUGCUACAACACGAGGGCUCGUGGCACUUGCUAAUCUGAAAUGCUUUUAGGAGAAUUGUUCAGUAGCAAUAAUCUGUCAACAGAUUACAAUUUUGCUUAAUUUUAAUGUGGCCAACUUAAGAUGGUUGUAUAGGAAAUUUAUGCAACUGAUCACAGUUAUUAAAUUACUGCAUCUGCAAAGGAAGCAAUCAAACCCCUUAUUACAGUUGCUGUGAGUGAAUGCUAAAUGUCAAGGAGUUACCAGUGCGCUGCGGGGAAUCACGCUCCAGUUAAAGAUGCAUAAAAUAUCAGCACUUUUUUAAUGCUUGUGCAUUCAACAAAGACUCCCAUCAUAAUUAACUGGUAUGGAAAUAAAUAAUUUUUACAAACUACCUUGGAAACAGUUGUGCUACAGUUUUUGUCAAAGUCUGCUGCUCUCCAGCGAUAUGUAAGCCCUUAGACACGCUUCCCUCUAACUCACAUACGCUAUAAAAUAUUUAAAUCUCACAGAGAGGUUUGAAAAUGAUAUUAUAAAUCCAACUCUCCGUGCUACAAAGUAAUUGAUGAUGAUUAAUUUAAUUAUACGUUUUUAAGGUUUUGAUAUUUUAAAAACUAGAGAUUCAUUUUUCUUUUUCUUUUUUUUUUUUUUUUUUUUGGUGAUGGUCUCAGUUGGAUAGUUCAGGGAAGGGGGCCUCUGUCGAUAAACAGCUGAAGAUGCGUGUAGGGGCUGAGCUUAAGCCCCCAAGGUGGAGGGUGCGAGUUCCAGGCACGGAGGUGGCAGCCGGACAGCUGGGUUCAGAUCCUGGCUGUGCAUGGUUAGUUCUGUCCCCUGCAGCAAGUUUAUCGAGCCCCCAUUCGAGUGGGGGUGGGGGGGAUGGGGGACGGGACACUUGACCGUUCACAGCUCCAUGAGUUUCUCGGGGGAGGCUGUGGGGGAGUGUGUGGAGGAGCCACAGUGAGCGCCUGGCCCUGGCGAGGGUUCGCUGCUACCUGGUGAUUCGUUGUGAAACCCCUUGGCUUUUGCUGGCAGGGAUCACAGCUGUCAUGGAGGGCCCUACUUCAGCCCUGUGUGUUCCCCUGUUCAGUUGAGGGCUGCAGGGCUUGAGAAAUCUGACCCAUGCAACCUUGGGACCUCAAUGGGCAUCCUGGGUUUCGCCAAGAAGGCAAGGCAGUCGGGUGGAAUGAGCUGCUUCUCCAGGGCUUAAAGGGCAGACCUCACCCCUGCGCUGAUUUGGUCCACUCAGCAACCCCAAGUAAUAGGUCAGCUGGACCCUCGGAGAGUUGAGUUAGGAACAGGAUCCCCUUGCACACCUGACUAUGGGCCACGGAUGUAAGCUGCUGGCUCCCCUGGGGUCAGCGUGCUGCUGUCCAGCCAGUCCUGUACCAUUCUCUCCAAAGGGGCUGCAACCUGGCCUUUUGUCCUUGAUUUUUUUACCCAGAGAGCUUCGAAGGUGGGACCCUGGAACUGCAGCUCGUUUGCCAGGAAUCAGAUUUUUUUAAAUUCAUUUUUAAAUGAAAGUUUAGUUGAUUUACAAUGUUGUGUGCCUUUCAGGUGUACAGCAAAGGAUUUGGUUAUAUACUAUGUAUAUUCUUUUUGCAGAUUCUUUUCCCUUAUAGGUUAUUACUAGAUAUUGAAUAGAGUCUCCUGUGCUCUGCAGUAGGUCCUUGUUGGUUAUUUAUUAUUUAUUUAUUUAUUUAUUUUUGUGGCCCUCUCCAUCGCAUGUGGACGUUUCCAAGCCAGGGAUCAAACCCACUCCACAGCAGUGGCAGUGCUGGGUCCUUAACCCCCUGAGCCACCGGGGAACUCUGGUUAUCUAUUUUAUAUACAGUAGUGUAUGUAUGUUACUUCCCCAUUCCUAAUGAGUCCUCCCUCUCUCUCCUCUUGGAUCGCCAUAAGUUUGUUUUCUAUGUCUGUGAGUUUGUGUCUGCUUUGUAAAUAAGUUCACAUGUAUCAUGUUUCUUAGAUUCCACGUAUAAGUGAUAUCACACGGUAUUUGUCUUUCUCUGUCGGACUUACUUCACUUAGCAUGAUAAUCUCUGGGUCCAUCCGUGUGGCUGCCAGUGGCAUUAUUUCCUUCUUGUUAAAAAAAAAAAUAGCAGAGCUUGUCCAUGAGGAUGACUUUCUCUUUCAUGGUGUAUUCAUUUGGUGUCAGUUUGUUUGGAGUUGUUUGUUCAGAUUUAUUUAAAGGAUAACGUUGUAGGGCAAUCAGAUUCAUGCAAAUGUCCAUUUGUGCAUACAGAGACGGAUGUGUGCAUAUGUGUUUAUGUAUAUGCAUUUGUAUGUGUGUAUAUGUUUACAUAUGUAUGUAUGUGUAAUCUACAUAAAGAAAUGAAAAUGAACCCAAGCCACGUUACUCAUCCAUCACGUCUUAUUCCAUCAAACAAGCAAUGGGGCACUCCGCAUCCACGCCCAGAUGCGGCUGUAUUAGACUAGAACCUUGGCUUCUGGAUGCUCCUGUUUUGGCUUGAGGUCUCCUCGAUUGAGAUCUCUCCUAGAGUCUGGAAGUACAAUUUGAGGAUGGAUGUGGCUGUUCUUUGCAAUUUCUUGUUUUUCAAUCCUGCACACUUUGAUGACAAAAGUGACAGGUGUAUGUAGUAUUUUCAGGUAAAAGCAAAUACUCGUGUAAAGAGGUCCAUCAGGGAAAUGUCUACACGUUUGGACAUGGGUAAGAGACAGCUUUUACUUAAUAAAACACUGGGAAUCUCCUUUUAUUUUUUGUUUCUUUUCUCCCCUCCCCUCACUUUUUUUCAGGGCCACACCUGUGACAUAUGGCCGUUCCCAGGUUAGGGGUUGAAUUGGAGUGACUGCUGCCAGCCUACACCACAGCCACAGCAAUACCGGAUCCAAGCUGCAUCUAUGACCUACACUGCCGCUCACGGCAAUGCUGGAUCCUUAACCCACUGAGCAUGGCCAGGGAUCGAACUAGCAUCCUCCUAGAGACGGCAUUGGGUCAUUAAUCCGCUGAGCCACAAGGGGAACUCCAGGAAUACAGACACUCUUAAAAAGAAUUCAUUUUGUUUUGAACACCACUUAAUACCAAUUUCUGAAAUAAACCACCAAUAUCAGACCCCCGGACUGACGGUAAAUGGGUGCGAGCACUUUGGUUUCUGCGCAUCCUCCGUGUUUCCUGUCUAGGAGGUUGGGUGAGGUGUGGAGUCUCGUGCCUUCUUCACGCCAGCAUUUUUGCUGUAGCCGGACGCUUUCCGGAGCACAGAUCACAGAGGGGUCGGCCGCAGGCCUCCAGACCCUCUGUGGCAUGUGCGCAGCAGCUCAGGGACCGGUGGGUCACCCCUCUUCGGCACUGUUUAGAAGGGUGGCCUUCCCAGAACCUUGAGAUGCCCAGGGAGCAGCCACCCUGGCCAGCCCAGUCCUGCCGCUCCAUCUUCUGAAUGGGACACACUCACUUUCAGAGAUGAAGUUGGUUUCAGGGCUUUUCUGAAUUAUUUAACGGACCCCUUGCCUGCCUUUAGGAGGGUUAGAAAUGCUUUCAUGUGCUUCCAGGGCCGGGCUCUCUGUGGGCCGGCUCGCAGUCACAGUCACCAGGACGUCUCUGGUGUCGAGUGUGGAAGGAGCCCAGGAGACCUGCGUUCAAAGCCUGGUGCUCUCCUUGGCCAGCCCUGCCUUCAGGGGGACACGGUCCCCUCAUCUGUGAAGAGGACCACCAGACCUACUUUGUGGGGUGGGUGAGGCCAGCAGGGGGGCCAUGUGAUUUAAAUACUCAACAAAACGCGGAGUUCCUGUUGUGGUGCAGUGGUUAAUGAAUCUGACUAGGAGCCAUGAGGUUGUGGGUUCGAUUCCUGGCCUUGCUCAGUGGGUUAAGGAUGUGGCGUCGCCGUGAGCUGUGGUGUAGGUCGCAGAUGCGGCUCAGAUCCCACAUUGCUGUGGCUCUGGCGUAAGCCAGUGGCUACAGCUCCGAUUUGACCCCUAGCCUGGGAACCUCCAUAUGCUGCG